AACUUUCAACAACGGAUCUCUUGGCUCUCGCAUCGAUGAAGAACGCAGCGAAAUGCGAUAAGUAAUGUGAAUUGCAGAAUUCAGUGAAUCAUCGAAUCUUUGAACGCACCUUGCGCCUCUUGGUAUUCCGAGAGGCAUGCCUGUUUGAGUGUC
rnacentral:rRNA from 6 species